AGCAGCCGCGGUAAUUCCAGCUCCAAUAGCGUAUAUUAAAGUUGUUGCAGUUAAAAAGCUCGUAGUUGAAUUUCGAGACCGGUUUAUUGGUCGUGCUUUUGUACGUACUGGUAUUAUUGGUUUCUCCUUUCUGACGAAUCUUAAUGCCAUUAAUUUGGUGUUUUGGGGAAUCAGGACUGUUACUUUGAAAAAAUUAGAGUGUUUAAAGCAGGCUCACGCUUGAAUACAUUAGCAUGGAAUAACGGAAUAGGACGUUUGAUUCUAUUUUGUUGGUUUCUAGGAUCGACGUAAUGAUUAAUAGGGAUAGUUGGGGGCAUUAGUAUUCAAUUGUCAGAGGUGAAAUUCUUGGAUUUAUUGAAGACUAACUACUGCGAAAGCAUUUGCCAAGGAUGUUUUCAUUAAUCAAGAACGAAAGUUAGGGGAUCGAAGACGAUCAGAUACCGUCGUAGUCUUAACCAUAAACUAUGCCG
rnacentral:rRNA from 1 species